GACGAACGCUGGCGGCGUGCCUAAUACAUGCAAGUCGAACGGUCUUUUCUAUGAAAGCUUGCUUUCACUGAGAAGAUAGUGGCGGACGGGUGAGUAACACGUGGGUAACCUGCCCAUAAGAGGGGGAUAACAUCCGGAAACGGGUGCUAAUACCGCAUAGUUUUUUUAGUCACAUGACUGAGAAAGGAAAGACGGCCUUUGUGCUGUCGCUUAUGGAUGGACCCGCGGCGUAUUAGUUAGUUGGUGAGGUAAUGGCUCACCAAGACGAUGAUACGUAGCCGACCUGAGAGGGUGAUCGGCCACAUUGGGACUGAGACACGGCCCAAACUCCUACGGGAGGCAGCAGUAGGGAAUCUUCCGCAAUGGACGAAAGUCUGACGGAGCAACGCCGCGUGAGUGAAGAAGGUUUUCGGAUCGUAAAACUCUGUU
rnacentral:rRNA from 1 species